CGCGUAGACGGUUGUCUAAGUCUGGAGUGAAAGUCCAGCUUUCAAGGUGGGAAUUGCUUUGGAGACUGGAUGACUUGAGUGCGGAAGAGGUAAGUGGAAUUCCCAGUGUAGCGGUGAAAUGCGUAGAGAUUGGGAAGAACACCAGUGGCGAAGGCGACUUACUGGGCCGUAACUGACGUUGAUGCGCGAAAGCGUGGGGAGCGAACA
rnacentral:rRNA from 1 species